AGCUUUGCGCAGUGGCAGUAUCAUAGCCAAUGAGGUUCAUCCGAGGUGCGAUUAUUGCUAAUUGAAAACUUUUCCCAAUACCCCGCCAUGAUGACUUGAAAUAUAGUCGGCGUUGGCAAUUUUUGGCGGUCUCUAUGGAGA
ensembl:snRNA U4 U4 spliceosomal RNA